CUGACAUUGUUUCUGGAUACACAUGAAAGCUUCCAGACUCGUUCACCUGAUCGUGUCCAAUUGCUGAAGUGCAGACCACCACCUAGAGAACCACAAUAAUAGGCUUCCCCUUGAGAGAGCCACAUGGGACUUCUGUUCCAUCCUUUCAUGUAGAAACGGCAUGCAGGAUAUUUUAUGAUUCAUUUUUUCCUUUUUGAUAAGAUAUGAAAGAAAUAUCAAAAGAAAUUCAGAGAUAUUUCUAUUUUCUCAGAAUGAGAUGAAGUACGAGGAGCUUCUACUUAAGAAACAUGCUAUUUUUCCCUGGCACUCUGGGUUCAUAAAGUGAGAAAAUUAUCUUUACUGCUAUUUUUGUUUGAUGUUUGAAGACAAGAUUUUGUGUCUUUUUGCAUUUUUACCCUUUCAAAUUAAAUCACCUAUAUCAAUGAAUGUACUUCACACAAGAACUAAGCAGAAUGAUGCCUAGCAACCGUGAUUUUAAAAGUCACUUUCUUCUGCUUUACAUCUGAGUUUAAGAGUCCUUUUUCUAGGUGGAGAUUCAGAAGCCCAGCUGUCAUUUAGAAAUAAGAAAUUUCAAGAUUCCAGUUGCCAUGGAUUUCUUUCCCAAAAAUCUUCCCAGAGAUCACAGAAUUUCCAGAUUUGCAAUAAGUGAAGAGAUUCAAUCUACACUGUUCAGAGUGGAGAGAAGGGGUGUGCUGUUGGAAUCACCUCUGGGAGAGAGUAAGCAUGUCUAAAAUACUGGAGCCUCACAGAGGGGAUAGGGCUCCAUUAGGACAGAGGAGGGCAGCAUUCCAAGAUAACCAGGUAGGCUCCUACUGAGGUAGGGAUAAGAGAGGCAAGGGGUUAGCAUGUGCCCAGGCAAGGAAUUAGCGUGUGAUAUAUGGCAAUUCUGCUUCAGAUUAAGGGAGCAUUUAGAAUUGUCUAAGAAAAAGCUUCUAAAGAUGUCCAUUUCGAUCCUGUUUUGGUUGUCACAACAGGAUGGAGGUGCUACGUACAUCUAGUGGGCAAAGGUCAGGGAUGUUGCUAAAAAUCUUGCAAUGUGAAGGACAGCCCACCCAAAAUAAAGAAGUAUCUGGCCUCAUAAGUCAAUGAGGCCAAGACUGAGGAGCCCGGUUUAGGUCCUUUUUGAAUUCCUUUCUUUCUGAACUCCUUUCUUCUCCAUCUUCCCUCAGUCUUGUUGAGGAUCGAGUUGGGUAACAGAGAGAGCACAUAAAUUUCCUCUUCAUUCUCUUCUCAUUCAGGCAGCUGGAGUGAGCUGGAGUAAGUCAGUUUCCCCUCACAUUCCCCUUCCUCAGGUUUCCUGGUAGCCUAGUGGUUAAGAGCAUGGGUUUUAGAGUCACAUAGGCAUGGUUUGGUCCUAGAUUGGCUAUAGGAUUAUAGAUAAAUUAUUUAUUUUAUUUAAGCUUCAGUUUGCACAUCUGUAAAAUGGACACCAUAAUAGUACUUAGCUCCCAAGUGAAGGUCAGAGUCUUUUCUCUAUUCUUACUACUGUUCAUGGCCCUUGUCUAGAUCUCAGGGGGGGGGGGGUUGCAUGAACUACUCAUGCAAAACUACUCAUGAACUACUCAUGUCAUAUUUUCUGCAUUGGACAUUAGCUACUAGUUUGGGCUGCUCUGCAAAUCUGUAUCUCUUCCCUCUGGGGGAACCACUCCCUUUCUCAAUCUAAGUCAUUAAGCAAGUCUUUCCCCUGGGUCCAGGUGUGUACUAGGCUUGAU